rnacentral:sRNA from 1 species
GCCAGGUAUGGUGGCACAUGCCUGUAAUCCCAGCUAGUUGGGAGGCUGAGGCAAGAGGAUCACAAGUUUGAGGCCAAUCUCAGCAACUUAGUGAGACCCUGUCUCAC